ensembl:misc_RNA Metazoa_SRP Metazoan signal recognition particle RNA
GCCAAGCAUGAUGGUCUGUGCCUAUAGUCUCAGCUACUCAGGAGGCUGAGGCAGGAGAACUGCUUGAGCCUAGGAGGCCUGUAGCGUGUGGUCUACCAAUAGGGUGUCUGCACUAAAUUCAACAUCAAUAUGGUGACCUCCUGGGAGCGAGGGACCACCAGUUUGCAUAAGGAGGGGCUGAACUGGCCCAGUUCCAGAAUGGAGCAGGUCAAAACUCACACGUUGAUCCAUUAUGGUUUAUUAUAGGGUAUAAAAUAUAGUUUCCUGUGCUAUACAGUAAGACCUCGUUGUUU